rnacentral:tRNA from 1 species
GCCCGCUUGGCCCAGUGGUACGGCGUGUCUUUCCUAAGGACAAGAUCGUGGGUUCGAUCCCCGCAGUGGGUU